GAAGAUGAUUUAUUGGAGCACGAAAACACAAUUGCAUAGGGGUAAUGCAAUGACUAGUUUCUGUUUGUCAAUUGGCAUAUGUGUUGGCAUAUUACUUUCCAAUUGAGUUUGUUUGAUAUGACUAGCGAGAAUGCAAUUUCAUAUAUGGUUCAGUAAAAAUCAGUUUGAUAAAUGGAAUAUGAGUUGACAUGUUAUUUUUUGAGUUUA
rnacentral:lncRNA from 1 species